UACGAAGGGGGCUAGCGUUGUUCGGAAUUACUGGGCGUAAAGCGUGCGCAGGCGGUUUGUAAGUCAGAUGUGAAAUCCCCGGGCUUAACCUGGGAACUGCGUUUGAAACUACAAGGCUAGAGUGUGGCAGAGGGGGGUGGAAUUCCACGUGGUAGCAGUGAAAUGCGUAGAGAUGAUGGAGGAACACCGAUGGCGAAGGCAGCCCCUGGGUCAAGAUUGACCGCUCAUGCACGAAAGCGUGGGGAGCAAACAGGA
rnacentral:rRNA from 1 species